CAUUGGAAGAAACAUCACUGGAUUUGAUGGAUUUUCAGCCUUUAGGAUAUAAUGGAUUUCCAUGAGUAGAAACCUGGCUGGAACCCAAUCCUAAGCUGAGAUACAUGCACUCACUGGCACAAGUGAGAAUUGGAGUCAUGAUAUGAAAGAUUUUGAUGUUGCCUAUAUAUAGCCAAUAACUGGAACCCAUUCUUGCAAUGUGGAAUGACCAAGGUUCACUUCUUUCUCCCAGGAACAAUGAGGCACUAUUUUUUUCUUCUGUUAUUUAAAUCUCCAAAUUCUAGUUUGCUAUCCAUUUUUAAUGUGGAUUUUCACAAAGAAAGUUCAGAAAGAUCACUGUUCAUGGCAUUUCAGCAGAAUCUCAUACUGGAGGUUAUUCACCCUUUUUUUCCGCUAAAAGAUCAUUUCAAGGAUAUAUUAUAGAAAAAAUAUAAGAGGUAGAAAAAAAAUGAGAGGGCCAGGUGACGAUGGGAUGCAUCAAAGAGAGAGAGAGAGAGAGAGAGAGUUGAAAGAGCCAAAGUUUUGUAUUCACAGAAGGAAGAGGUUUGUCAAAGAGAGAGUUGAAAGCUAAUGAGUGUACAGAGAAAAUUCUAUAGAGGUGGGAAUAUGUUACAUGAUCCAUGCAACCACAAAGAGUGAAUUUGAAAUGAUGGUUAUGGAUUGAAGCUGGAAUCGUAGAAGAGAAACCUUGGAUUAGUUGGCCGAGUCAGUCAGGAAUUCAGGACCGAACAUGUGGGCAAGAAGAACGAGCAUGCCUCUCAAGUAUUGGUUCAGUUUCGUUUUUUUGUUCGAUCUUGGUUUGAUUCUGGAUACAAUAUGUAUAUAUCAACACUGAAUAAUUUUUAUAAUAUCAAACCAAAACUGAACCGAAGAUGGUUUCGAUUUCAUUCGAUGCAUAUAUGGUUUCCAUGAUUUGAUUCAAGUGGAAUAGCUUGAUGAAACAAAAAAGGUUAAUAAAGAAAUAACAACUUCAUGAA